rnacentral:rRNA from 1 species
UACGUAGGGGCCUAGCGUUGUCCGGAAUUAUUGGGCGUAAAGAGCUCGUAGGCGGUUCGGCAAGUCGGAUGUGAAAUCUCCACGCUUAACGUGGAGGGGCCAUUCGAAACUGCUGUGACUCGAGUCCGGUAGGGGAGUGUGGAAUUCCUGGUGUAGCGGUGAAAUGCGCAGAUAUCAGGAGGAACACCAGCGGCGAAGGCGGCGCUCUGGGCCGGUACUGACGCUGAGGAGCGAAAGCGUGGGGAGCGAACAGG